rnacentral:rRNA from 1 species
AGAUUGAACGCUGGCGGCAUGCCUAACACAUGCAAGUCGAACGGUAGCAGGCCUUCGGGUGCUGACGAGUGGCGGACGGGUGAGUAAUGCGUAGGAAUCUGUCUUUUAGUGGGGGACAACCCAGGGAAACUUGGGCUAAUACCGCAUGAGCCCUGAGGGGGAAAGCGGGGGAUCUUCGGACCUCGCGCUAAGAGAAGAGCCUACGUCUGAUUAGCUAGUUGGUAGGGUAAAGGCCUACCAAGGCGACGAUCAGUAGCUGGUCUGAGAGGACGACCAGCCACACUGGGACUGAGACACGGCCCAGACUCCUACGGGAGGCAGC